rnacentral:rRNA from 1 species
UACGUAGGGUGCAAGCGUUAAUCGGAAUUACUGGGCGUAAAGCGUGCGCAGGCGGUGAUGUAAGACAGAUGUGAAAUCCCCGGGCUCAACCUGGGAACUGCAUUUGUGACUGCAUCGCUGGAGUGCGGCAGAGGGGGGAUGGAAUUCCGCGUGUAGCAGUGAAAUGCGUAGAUAUGCGGAGGAACACCGAUGGCGAAGGCAAUCCCCCUGGGCCUGCACUGACGCUCAUGCACGAAAGCGUGAGGAGCAAACAGG